rnacentral:rRNA from 1 species
UGGGGAAUAUUGCACAAUGGGCGCAAGCCUGAUGCAGCAACGCCGCGUGAACGAUGAAGGUCUUCGGAUCGUAAAGUUCUGUUGCAGGGGAAGAUAAUGACGGUACCCUGUGAGGAAGCCCCGGCUAACUACGUGCCAGCAGCCGCGGUAAUACGUAGGGGGCUAGCGUUAUCCGGAUUUACUGGGCGUAAAGGGUGCGUAGGUGGUCUUUCAAGUCGGUGGUUAAAGGCUACGGCUCAACCGUAGUUAGCCUCCGAAACUGGAAGACUUGAGUGCAGGAGAGGAAAGUGGAAUUCCCAGUGUAGCGGUGAAAUGCGUAGAUAUUGGGAGGAACACCAGUAGCGAAGGCGGCUUUCUGGACUGCAACUGACACUGUGGCACGAAAGCGUGGGUAGCAAACAGG